AACGAACGCUGGCGGCAUGCCUAACACAUGCAAGUCGAACGAGACCUUCGGGUCGAUUUGCGCACGGGUGCGUAACGCGUGGGAACCUGCCCUUAGGUUCGGAAUAACUCCCCGAAAGGGGUGCUAAUACCGGAUAAUGUCGUCGGACCAAAGAUUUAUCGCCUUUGGAUGGGCCCGCGUUGGAUUAGCUAGUUGGUAGGGUAAAAGCCUACCAAGGCGACGAUCCAUAGCUGGUCUGAGAGGAUGAUCAGCCACACUGGGACUGAGACACGGCCCAGACUCCUACGAGAGGCAGCAGUGGGGAAUAUUGGACAAUGGGCGAAAGCCUGAUCCAGCAAUGCCGCGUGAGUGAUGAAGGCCUUAGGGUUGUAAAGCUCUUUUACCCGGGAUGAUAAUGACAGUACCGGGAGAAUAAGCUCCGGCUAACUCCGUG
rnacentral:rRNA from 1 species